ACACACCAUCCAACUCGCUCGAACUACUGACUCGCUCAUUCUAUCUCCAUGCGAAUUCUAACCCUCACCUCAACCAAAAUCUCAAACCCUUACCCUAACCCUAACCUUCCAUUCUAACAUGGAGAAGGAGGUCAGUCCUCUGCGUCAUCGAUGCACUUGACUGCCAAUUCGUGUUUCGACCUCGCACCUUCGUCUGUAUGGCUUCAAUUUCGGCGAAAGAAGGAAGAGUUCGGAGAUCUGAAAUCUUGGAUGCACAGGAAUAUAAGCGACCUCCUCCCUUCAAGGUCGAGCUCAAAGAGAGCCAUCGCAUGAUGAGAAGCGCAGGCCCCUUCCUUACGUAGCUGCGAGCGAAAAUGUUCAGGUUAGCGAUGCCGCAUUUUCUCAUAUGCAAUGCUUACGAGAGUGUUAGGGCACGAGACAAUAGUUUUCUAUCAGUCUCCCUUAAUACACAUUAUCAGCAGCUCGGAGGAGUCUGAAGAACCUGUAUCAGGUUGGGAAAGAGCAACAGAGACUUGACAUUGAUGAUAUGAUAUUGUUCCUCAACAAUUGAGGAUCACCCUGUACCGACCUCAAGUCCUCAAGUUGUGAAUGGUGAUGGCAAAGAUACUGGAGAUCACUUACAAGUUCCAACAUAAUAAUAUGGUCUGAAUGUUUACCUCUACUUUUAACGAGUAGAUAGAAGCUUUCCUAUUAAUUUUCAUUUUCUGACUAAAUCAUUCCUACCUUAGCUAGCAUCUUCACUUAAAGAGUUUAUUUGGGCUGAACUUCGGCCCGACUGGUGGAAC